rnacentral:lncRNA from 1 species
GCACUUGUAUGUGAAAGUCUGUUCAUCUAAAUUUUAUCAUCCUUUCUGUAUUUCUUUCACUUCUUUUGAUUUCUUUAAGGAAAUCUGUUACAUCUUCCUUCCUCCCCUCAACACUGCAUGUCCUGUCAUUCUUCCUAUUGCAUUGUCUCCUGUCUGGCAGCACACAUCAGCACAAUUCACUAUGCCUUCAGUUCCCAAAUAGAAGAAUAACUAUCACUUUUGCAAAAGGCUAGCAAUCAUCCAUUCCUCCCAGCUUUUCUCUAUCUCAGGAAAAAGAAGCAUUGAUAACCAUACUGUAUUUCUCAAAAUGCAGAGCUAAUUGCUUUUUAUGUUUUCCUGACAGUUUUUUCUAUCUGUGCAGAUUACAUGCUUUUGGGUUGGGCUCACAUGUAUGAUACACUUCCAAGUAAACACCUGAGCACGGAGCUAGAAAAAAAUACAGAGGAACUCAUUGACAGCACAUAGAAGAUGAUGUAUUAGGCUUCCCUCAUAAUCAAUAUUUGCAGCAAUUGCACCAGGGCUGCAUCUCCCAUGUGGCACGUUCUCUGGUGCGUUGGCCCUUUUUGGUUAGGAUGGCUGCAAUUAAUUUAUCACAACAAGUAUGAAGGAUCUGUUGAUGUUGCUACCUCAGUGUCUCUUCUGCAAACACCUGCUUUUCAAAUUAUAACUUCACCUGAUGAAAGGAGAAAAUGGACAU